rnacentral:rRNA from 1 species
UACGUAGGGGGCGAGCGUUACCCGGAAUCACUGGGCGUAAAGGGAGCGUAGGUGGCCUAACAUGUCAACUGUGAAAACCCGGAGCUCAACUCCGGACUUGCAGUUGAAACUGGUAGGCUUGAGGACGGUAGAGGAAGACGGAACUGCCAGUGUAGGGGUAAAAUCCUUAGAUAUUGGCAGGAACGCCGGUAGAGUAGGUUGUUGUCGGUCGUU